rnacentral:rRNA from 1 species
GCACAAGCGGUGGAGCAUGUGGUUCAAUUCGAAGCAACGCGCAGAACCUUACCAGCCCUUGACAUCCCGGUCGCGGGAACCAGAGAUGGAUCCUUUCAGUUCGGCUGGACCGGAGACAGGUGCUGCAUGGCUGUCGUCAGCUCGUGUCGUGAGAUGUUGGGUUAAGUCCCGCAACGAGCGCAACCCCCGUCCUUAGUUGCUACCAUUCAGUUGAGCACUCUAAGGAGACUGCCGGUGAUAAGCCGCGAGGAAGGUGGGGAUGACGUCAAGUCCUCAUGGCCCUUACGGGCUGGGCUACACACGUGCUACAAUGGCGGUGACAAUGGGAUGCGAAGGCGCGAGCCCUAGCAAAUCUCAAAAAGCCGUCUCAGUUCGGAUUGGGCUCUGCAACUCGAGCCCAUGAAGUUGGAAUCGCUAGUAAUCGUGGAUCAGCACGCCACGGUGAAUACGUUCCCGGGC